rnacentral:rRNA from 1 species
GAAAGAGAGUUAAAAAGCACGUGAAAUUGUUAAAAGGGAAGGGAUUGCAACCAGACUUGCU